rnacentral:tRNA from 1 species
GGCUAUUAGCUCAGGUGGUUAGAGCGCACCCCUGAUAAGGGUGAGGUCCCUGGUUCAAGUCCAGGAUGGCCCACCUAAAAAAUGUGGGGGUAUAGCUCAGUUGGUAGAGCGCUGCCUUUGCAAGGCAGAUGUCAGCGGUUCGAGUCCGCUUACCUCCACUAAAAAUAUUCCUAGAACAAAUCAGCACUACAGCUUUCUGUGAAGAAAGAGUAAAUGCUGGAAAAAGUUCCAGCCAGAACCUUGAGAACUGCAUAGAAGAAUCAAAAGGGAUCAACAAUGAAACCAGAACCGGGAAUCAGAAACCCGGAAAAGUU